rnacentral:lncRNA from 1 species
UGCUAGGUUAUGAAAAUGUUUUCAGAAUAGUAUAAUCCUAUUAAAAUGAUUUGCUCACAAAUUCUCAAAUUUUAAGCUACAUUUAUUUCUUUAAUUAAGAAUCAUGCUGAAAGCAGUAAUCGAUUUCAAAUUUGUAAUAAUCAAUUUACUUUUCAUUUCAAGAGAGCGAUAUUGCUUCUCACUUAAAUAAUUUCCCAAACUCAAUAUUGGCUUUUAAUUCUUUUUUUGCUUAAUCAAGCUUUUGUUAUAUUGUUCCAAACAUCAGUUGAUGCCUACUCUCUAAGAAUGCUGAUAGCUUCUAUCUGUUCCUGUUUGUCAAAUUAUCUGCUGGUGAUGCAUAGCUGCCUGAGCACCUCUAAAAGAAUUUCCAUUAGAAUGAAGGUAGUAAUGUGUGUAUGUUAUGUAUAUGAGUGUGCAUUCGCAUGUAAUUCACAUAUAUAAGUACACACAUUUAUAUGUGCAGACACAGAUUUUUGUAUGUGUAUAUACAAGAUCAUUUUGUUCUUAUCAUUAAAGCAUGUGCCAUGCUUUGCACUUCACACCUAGGCUCCAAAAGACCUUGGCGCUUUGCUUUUCCUUAAGGCCAUUGGAAACUUCAGAAUUAACAUAUACCAUAGUACAUCUUGAACAUAAUUCAUAAGUUCAUUCAUAAUUUGUAUAAUAGAGAUGGGCAUGGAUUGAUCUUAGUAUAAGCCUAUUGUGACUAAAAAUAUGCUUGUAAUAUCAUGACAACUACUAAAGCUUAUUUAAUGCUCUGGAAUGUACGCCUUCAAUGAUUUGACGCCUUCAAUGAUUUGAAUGUAUUGCUUUACGUAUGUCCUGCAUCAAGGUUUGCCGAACAAGUAUUAGGGCUUGUACUGGCCAGCAAUUGGUUAAGUGUGAUAAGGGUUUGUAGUUGUGUCAUUUUGAGGCGUAUAAAAUAGGGAGGGGGAGAACGAGGAGGUGGAAUGUACGCCUUCAAUGAUUUGAAUGUAUUGCUUUACGUAUGUCCUGCAUCAAGGUUUGCCGAACAAGUAUUAGGGCUUGUACUGGCCAGCAAUUGGUCUAAGUGUGAUAUGGGUUUGUAGUUGUGUCAUUUUGAGGCGUAUAAAAUAGGGAGGGGGAGAACGAGGAGAGUAAGAGAGAGAGGAGGGAGAGGGAGAAGGGGGAGAAGAAGGAGACAGAGGGAGGGAGAGGAUUGAUCAUCCGUAUGUGAGAAAGAGGUCUUGUGAACCUUACUUUCCUAGAUAGGUGGUGAUCUUGCCCUUGAUGGUCACUGGAGACAAUGGGAGCAGGACUAAGAAUUGCGGCAAGGUCCAUAUCAGUCCCAUUUGAUGGCAAAUAAGUGACCCAGAGUAGAUUUGGACAUCGUAGUGUGAUGAUAAGGCCGAUGUUGGCACCGCACAAAUCUUGUGCAUCCCUAGCAUCAUCGGUCUUGGAUGAUGCUUGAUGGUCGAGAUCAUGGCUUGGGGAGUGUGGAUUUGGUGGUAGAGAAGUUGGAGGAUGGUGUCACUAUGACAAUCAUCAUCGCCAUUCCACUUUCUCUUUCGUCCCAUUUCUUCCUCCUUUGUUGGAUGAGCCGUCAUCGGAGCGGAGAAUGCAGUGACGGCAGAUAGAGAGAGGGAGAGAUUUUUCAUGUGAGAGAGAGAUGAGUGAAGAUCAAGACCGCCAGGUGGUGGGGUGCUUGGGGGUUUAUUAAGAGCCGAACUAUCCCAGUUUAUGACAAGUUCAGUUUGGUACGGUCUGAGCUGCUUGGUUCGAGAUGGUUUGGCUGACCUUGUCUUGCAUGAACCUAUCAAAUUACCUUUUUCGGUCCCCUAUAAUUUCACUAGUAAAAAUUGUACAUAGCUUUUUGCCUUUUUCUAUAUUUUUCUAUCAGUUGCAUGAGUUACAAGAUAACCCCAAUUGUUGAUCUUUUAGGUAUAUAUCCAAAUUAAUUCUUUGUAAUGGUUGUUAUUUAUCUUAAUCUUUGUUCAGUUACACAUUUCCAUUACUUCAUUGAUAACUAGAAUUUUUUUUAGCUCCUUUUUAUACAAAAUAUAUAUUUUUUUCAAUCAGUGAAUUCAUUCUUGGUUGUUUAAAACUUCUUAGAUAAGUUAGUAAGCUAGGUUAGCUCACUAUCUCAUGAUUUUUCGAACGUCAAUAGGUAUUUCAUUUGUCUCUAAUGCCUUACACUUUCACAUCCUUUUCUAAGCUACCUCCACUUUUAUGUUUGGGUUUUAUAUGACCAGACUCUCAAUGCCUCACAAAUUGUAGUUACUCGAUAAAUAUUUCUUUAGUAGAAACAAUAUUUGAAAAUAACAGCUUCGUCUUCUUUAGUAGUAUAUACAGCUGCAUAGACCUGCAUCUAUAACACCACAACCUAUUUUAUAAAUUAUCAUAUGCAAUAUAUGUUUUGUGUUACUAGUCUUUUUGCAUGUUUCUUAGUCAUCUUGUAUCAUUUAAAAUCCUUGAUAUCAUGUGUUCUGCAUCAACUUUCAAAGCAAAUCCUCUUAUGCCUUUGCCUUUUUGACCUUAUUAUCAGAGUUUCAAACUCCUUUUUUUAUCUUAUUAUUCCACUUACAAUUUGUUUAUAUGUAUAUGUUUUGUCUUUCAGCUCUCUCAGAACAUUUUAAGCUCUCUUAAUACUAUCAAUCAUUUGUUCCCAAAUUCUAUUUGGUUUAGUUCUCAAGUUCCAAUUUUUCCUCCUUAAAUAAUUUAUGCCUGAAAGAUGUAAUGUUUUCUCCUUUUAAAUUUCACCAUCAUAGUAUCCUGCACUUGGUGUACAUGUACAUCUAACGUUACUAGCCUAUGUUGUGUGGUUAAGCUUUCUUCUGGGAUCACCAUACAAUCUUUUCAAGUUGGUUUCUCCCUCUCUCCCUCUCUCCCUCCAUGCAAUUAACAAACUACAUUUUUCUUGCAUUUGAUCUACUCCCAGAGGUUACUGAAUAUAUAUCUUUUUUUUUUUUGUUGUAUUUCUAAUAACUAGAUCAUAUUGCUAUACAUUAUAUCUAGAUAUAUUUUGGUGGGUGUCAAACCCUAAAUCUAGAAGUGCAGAGAACCUGACUCCCAUACCAAUGAUCAAUACCUAUUGUUAUGCUUGAUAUAUAGUGUCCAUUAUGUUGAGAUAUAUUCAGCUCUGAUAUCAAAAUUCUGAUUCUUGGGUUUGGAGAAUCUGACAGUCUGUACUUGUGUUUCACACUUAUGGUUGCACAAGUAUUGGGGCAACAUAUACCAUAAUUUUAAAUUGUGCCUACACCUGGAGAAGGUUUCUGCUGCAUAAACACAGUUUUGCAGGCUUCAACCUGCUUUUAGUAAAUUGUUUCAUAUGAUAUAUAAUGAUUCGACAAUAUUAUAUUGUUUCUUGUAUGGAUUAUAUUAUUAUGAUCCAAAUAUAUUGGUAUAAAGGGAUGACAGGUUCUGCUGUUUUCUUUUUCCCUUCCUUUUGCCUUAAAAAAAUUGAGUUCUUUCUUGCUCCAACUACAUUAUUAUUAGCUUCUUUCUUGGGUAACCCUAUGUUGGUCUAUUCUAGCAAGUGCUAUUCUGAAAUCUUCAAUUUUUUCAUUUCUACCAACAAUUUUUAUGUCAGCCAAUGAAUUCUGUGGCUAUGUAAGAUUGCACUAUAGUGUCAUCUGAAUGACAGAUCACAGUGCUUGAAGUUCUUGUUUGCUCAAAAGUUGCAAUAAUUCAGUAAGUGAUGGUAAGAAAUAGAAACAAGUUUUUCUUCUGCCACAUGUAUGCUUCAUCUGUUGACUUUAUUUUUGUAAGAUUUUAGAUAUUGUAGUGUUUCUCAGAUAGCUAUUGGUACCUUUCCUGCAUCUUUUUGUUGGUUUCUAUUGUUUAGCUUGGCAUCAUUGUUGAAUUACUUAAUUUCACUUUUUUAAAAUAUAUCAGGUUUUUAUUUGUUUAACUGUGUUUUGUUUUAUCUUGUAG